rnacentral:rRNA from 1 species
UACGAAGGGGGCUAGCGUUGCUCGGAAUCACUGGGCGUAAAGGGUGCGUAGGCGGGUCUUUAAGUCAGGGGUGAAAUCCUGGAGCUCAACUCCAGAACUGCCUUUGAUACUGAGGAUCUUGAGUAUGGGAGAGGUGAGUGGAACUCCGAGUGUAGAGGUGAAAUUCGUAGAUAUUCGCAAGAACACCAGUGGCGAAGGCGGCUCACUGGCCCGAUACUGACGCUGAGGCACGAAAGCGUGGGGAGCAAACAGG